UCGCGGGGUUUUUCACUCCACCCAAUCGCAGUACCUAACGUUAGUUCCAAGUGCAUUGUAAACAACAACGUCCACGGCCCUGGACUGCUUUGGACGCAAUAGGACUGCCUCGGGGCUUCAGGGUUGUGAAUCAUGACAGGUGCAAAUCGCCAGGUCUUUUCUCCCUCGAAGUGGCUGGUGGGUUAGAACUGCUGACCUUCUGGUUAACAGCCAAGCACUCAAUAUGCCCAUAAAAUCAAGCUCAAUGCCUCCGAGUCGAUUUCCUCUGCGUACGACAGAGUAGAACUGCCCCCAGACGAUUCCCAAGGCUGUGAAUCUAUGUCAGCAGCGUCAUCUUUCUCCCACUGAUUGGCUGUUCCCAGGUUGACACUGCCAGCCCUGGCCCUGUUGAGGAUCCUUGCCUUGUGAUUGUUAUGUGGAAACUGCCCUCCAAGCCUGCAAUUUUCUUCCCAAGCCUGGCUGCCUCCUCAGGCUCAUGAGAUCCUUCCCCAGAAGAAGCAGCUUUGAGGCCACAAGGCAGAUGCUAUGCUGUGGACAGCUGGGUCCCAGGCCUUGAGAUGAAGAACGAGAUUGAAAAGAGCAGAAUGGGAUAACUCAGAAGUGGACAUGAAGGCUUACAGAACUGAACAACAGCAGCAAAGCCUGGAAGAGCGAGAGUGAUGAGAAGCCCCCAUCCCAGGAGAAGAUGAGUCACCGGAGACUUUGUAUUGGGCCAGAAACCUGUAAGCAUCUCAUGUGUGGACAAAGCUGCUCUCAGAGCUCUUCUUUCUCCCGUACGCCAGCACCCCCAGACUGAACAUCGCCUCCGAACGUCGUGGACAUGGAAAAGGCUUUAGCUGAGGUUCUUGUCUAGUUCACCACCAGAGAAUCCACAGCGAAGAGAAGCCUCACACGUGCAUUGAAUGCUGAAAAGGCUUUAGUGAACGCUCCAACCUCACCGCCCACCUGAGAAGUCACCCAGGGGAGAGACCUGACCAGUGUGGGUGUGUGGGAAAAGCUUCAACUAGGGGUCUAGCCUCCUAGUCCACCAGAUGACCCAUCCCUGGGGGAAAGCCUUCUGAGUGUACUGUGUGUGAAAAGAGGGUCUACAACAAUCGCAGUUCAGUGCUCACUGGUGAAGUCACACUAGGGGCAACCCACACAAAUGUGUGGAGUGUGGGAAAAGCUUCAGCAAUAGCCCCCACCUUAGUGCCCACCAGAGAACUCACACCAGGCUCAGGCUGUCUUCAUAUUAAGUGCUCUCAUAUUAACUGCCCUCUCCCACCACCAAGAAGUUCACACACAAGAGACAUUCACAUCAUAGGAAAGAAGAGAAGUAUAAGUCUGUAGAACAUCCGAAAGGCCAAUUCUUGAGACUAAUUUGUACUUUCUACAGCGCCCUUGAGUUUUUAGGGAAAUCUAUGAGCCAUUUGACAACUGGAUCAUACGAAUUAUGUUCUGGAAUCGCAUCAAGAAUAACAUAGCUCUGCCCAUGACUCCAGAACUCUCACUAUAGACUUUGCUUUGAAGGAGAAGUUACAGGAUCCAUAAGUUCUAAUAAGAAACCAAGGUGUGCCUGUUUCCAGCAUAGAAAAUGGGUGGCUAGUGGUCUGAGAAGUGUUUCUGGGCCAGGUCAGAGCAUGGCUCUCACACUGAGGGCCAAGAAAUAGUUUUUCCUCAUGGAAAGCACAUGUAGAAGGUUGUAUCUUUCCUAAGCCAAUAAUUGACUUCUUAGCACCUACUGUUAUGUACUGCUGUUACUGUCACCACUUCUUUAUAACCUAGCGACCGCCAAAAUGGACAAAGACAGGGUUAAACCACUGUAUAUUUUAUAAAUAUUAUUUCUAAUGAAAAUAAAGGUAUUUUUUGUCUCCA